rnacentral:tRNA from 1 species
UGAAAUAGCUCAGUUGGUAGAGCAAUUGAUUCGUAAUCAAUAGGUCGCAGGUUCAAAUCCUGUUUUCAGC